AGAUGCUGAGAAGCACCUGAGGAUCUCUUCUGAACAUCAUGUUGAGAGGUCUGAGGAAAACCUGCAGAUCUAUGGAAAUAUAUGCACAAACAGAAGGGAGUUGGACGUUUUGACAGAGAUUUGCUAUGUGCAGACGACACCCACAGACCACUGAUGAGAUGAAAAGGAAGCCAACCUCAGAUGCCAGAUCUGACCUCAGACAACAGCCCGCAGCCAUCGAUCCCAAAUCCAGGGAUUUUUUUUGUUUGUUUGCUAUUCUUUUUAUUUUAUUGUUGAGUGUUGUACUUUGAAAGCAAAGAUUAGAGUCAAACCUGGCCAAUAAAGCUGAUUCUGAAAUUCUGAAUGCUUGCAACUGAGGUCUACUGAAGGCCCAACUGAUGCUUCUAUCCAGAACCACAGUUUGAGUUUUAGCUGUUCCUUUGAGUUCAUUUUUACCUUUUCCUUUUUACCCCCAGGAUUGGGGUAGUACCAAGGAAUGUUUUUUCAAUAUGGGUUUUUCUUCAAUGUAACGACUAUAACUAAAAUGUAAAGACUUUCUUCUUGGUAUGUUUUUUCGCCUCUCUUAUAUGAAGCCUUCAGCUAUCCUCCUGGGACCUAGAGGAAAGUUUUGAUAUUAAGAUUUUUUAGAUAAUGUA